CAGCCGCCACGGUAAUACGGAGGGUGCAAGCGUUAAUCGGAAUUACUGGGCGUAAAGCGCACGCAGGCGGUCUGUCAAGUCAGAUGUGAAAUCCCCGGGCUUAACCAGGGAACUGCAUUUGAAACUGGCAGGCUAGAGUCUUGUAGAGGGGGGUAGAAUUCCAGGUGUAGCGGUGAAAUGCGUAGAGAUCUGGAGGAAUACCGGUGGCGAAGGCGGCCCCCUGGACAAAGACUGACGCUCAGGUGCGAAAGCGUGGGGAGCAAACAGGAUUAGAUACCCCGGUAGUCCCUGUCUCUUAUAC
rnacentral:rRNA from 1 species